GAGGUACUCCCUCUGUUCGGAAUUACUUGUCUCGAAAAUGGAUGUAUCUAGAACUAAAAUACAUCUAGAUACAUCCAUUUCUACGACAAGUAAUUCCAAACGGAGGGAGUAGUAU
rnacentral:pre_miRNA from 1 species